CUGUUGAGCUGAGCCCAGGGUGC
rnacentral:miRNA from 1 species